GCAAGUCGAACGUGCUUUCGGGCAAGUGGCAGACGGCUGAGUAACGCGUGAGUAACGUGCCCUCCGGUGGGGUAUAGCCUCGGGAAACUGAGAGUAAUCCCGCAUACGAUCCGGUGACCUUGGUUGUCGGAUGAAAGCCUAACGGCGCCGGAGGAGUGGCUCGCGUCCUAUCAGGUAGUUGGUGAGGUAACGGCUCACCAAGCCUAUGACGGGUAGCUGGUCUUAGAGGACGAUCAGCCAGAGGGGGACUGAGACACGGCCCCCACUCCUACGGGAGGCAGCAGCAGGGAAUUUUYGGCAAUGGGCGAAAGCUGACCCAGCGACGUCGCGUGGGGGAUGAUGGCCUUAGGGCUGUAAACCCCUUUUCCCGGGGAAGAGAAAGGACGGUACCCGGGGAAUAAKCUCCGGCUAACUACGUGUCAGCAGCCGCGGUAAUACGUAGGGAGCAAGCGUUACCCGGAAUUACUKGGCGUAAWGUGCGCGUAGGCGGCUU
rnacentral:rRNA from 1 species